CUCCAACCAGUGCUCUGAACAGAGUUCACCACCCAAGGGAGCCCUCUCUGACUGCUGUCCCCCGAGCACCUGCUUUGUUCCCUUCUUGAGAUAGUGUCUUGCAAUGUCGCCCAGGCUGGAGUGCAGUGGUGCCCCUCCUGUUGUGAAUGUAUCUCCUGAUCUGUUUAACUCCUGUGUGUGAAACUUUGUGAUUCAUGCAAUGAGAACAAGGCUUUACGUGAACAGACCAGAGCCCAGGUGCAGGGCGGUCAUUCCAGAGCCCAGGUGCAGCAGGUGCAGGGCGGUCAUUCUGCCCACACAGCUGUGUCCAUGCCAGGGCUCAAGAUCCCACACCUCAGCCUAGCAUUGCUCUGUCCAAAGGCAGACAGCCUGGUACAGCCAUGUGUGCAGUUAUUUUCACUUCAAAAAAAACCUUAUUAAACAAAAACCAAAUAUAUGUAAACACA
rnacentral:lncRNA from 10 species